UCCGAGUACGGUCACAUCGACACGUGCAUUCUUUCAUUUCUUUUUUCCAUCCAAAAUGGCCAGUCGAGUUUUCUCUCUUGAUUCCCAGCUAAAGUUUAACAAAAGGAGUGCCACGCGGUAGCAGCAACCAUCUGCUGAAAAUGAAUGGAAAAUAUAAAGAUUUGACGGUUUUUCGCCAGAAGGAACACACGUGUCCGAAAGUAAGACGUACUCUUCAAAAGACUCUACAUCUACUGGACAUGGAUCUCAGCAUAGAUUGACGGACUUGAGGGGAUAAGUGUAACAUCCAGUUUAAUUCUUGAGAUGACUAAAAUCCAGGAACUGAUGAUAAGCCCUAACUUGGCUCGCAGCUUUAGCAUGAAACUACCUUAUUAGUUGGUAGGUGCCAGAAUAAUCGAAGAAAUGAGAACUGCGUUGGAACUGUAAGAAAUAUGUAUUGAAGUACAUUACUGUGGCUGUCAACUUUGCUAAACAUCAGCAAAGAUGGGUAUGAAAGCUUCCCCUGUAUAAAAGGAUUUCAAAAUGCAAAGACAAGGCCAGAUGAAAUGCGCAUCAUAGUCAUUUACAAAACUGAAUACUAAAAUGAUACCUAUAACAUUAAAUGUUAUGCAGGCCAAGCUGCAAUAGAACUUCGCUUAUCAAAUAGAAACCCGGUGGGCAAGUUAAAAAGACUAAUAUGAUGUUGAGGCACUCGGCAAUUGCUGACGGCUAUAUAAUAUAUUAAGAUAACUGGGGAAUGCUUUGGAAUAUACUUGCCAAUCAGCCUAUAAAGAUACUCCACGGCUCGUGCAGAAACCCCAAAAUGUUCUAGAAAUACCACUGAUGUAUCUUAUCUAUGAAUAAAAAUACGAAAGACUUGGUUUAAUAUAA